rnacentral:rRNA from 1 species
GGGUUGUGAGGUUAAGCGACUAAGCGUACACGGUGGAUGCCCUGGCAGUCAGAGGCGAUGAAGGGCGUGCUAAUCUGCGAUAAGCGCCGGUAAGGUGAUAUGAACCGUUAUAACCGGCGAUACCCGAAUGGGGAAACCCAGUGUGAUUCGUCACACUAUCAUUAACUGAAU